UUGAGGAGUCGGGAGUACCAUAAAUUGAGAAAUCGGGAGUACCAUAAAUUGAGGAGUCGGGAGUUGAGGUAUCACAAAUUUAGGUGUCAAGGUACCAUAACUUGAGAAGUCAGGAGUCAGUGCUUCCAUAAACUGAGGAGUCUGGAGUUAAGGUACCAUAAAUUGAGCGGUUGGGAGUCGGUGGUACCAUAAAUUGAGGAAUCUGGAUUACCAUAAACUGAGAAGUCGGGAGUCAGUUCUGCCAUAAUUUGAGGAGUCGGGAAUCGAGGUAUCAUAAAUUGAGAAGGGGAGUCAGUGUUAUUAAAAUUUGAGAAGUCGGAAGUCAGUGCUGCCAUAAACUGAGGAGUCGGGAGUCAAGUUACCAUAAAUUGAGGAGUUGACAGUUGGAGGUAUCAUAAAUUGAGGAGUUGGGAGUCAGUACUGCCAUAAAUUGAGGAGUAGGGAAUCGAGGCAUCAUGGUACCAUAACCUGAGGAGUUGGGAGUCGGUGAUACCCUAAGUAGAAGCCAGAAGUC